UGAUAUGCUGACGCUAUGGGCUCACCAGACCACACCCCUCUUUUUCGCCGCGCGAAGCUGUUAUCUGCGAUGGCCGAGCGGUUUAGAUAGAUGUCACUUCGAGUGUUCCCAGUGCGCAUGCGCUCAGCCGUUGAGAAUGGAGGUUGGCAGGUUCGAGUCCAGGAACGGACCAGACUGCGCGAGGUGUGCGCCCCGUAACUACAGACAGACUCCGCUGAUCGUAAUAAAAAUGGCUGUUUGAACAGAGUUGUAUGAACGACUAAAGAGGCUUACCACACUGUGACUGCUGAUAAGACACAGGUGGUUCUUUAGAGUGUGAAAGUCACUCCUGAGGACCUUGUUUGACUCUGCUGUGGCAUCGGCUGGUUUCUACAAGUCAUCAGCAGCAUGGACACAUAAACACAGACGCCUCAUUGAGCGGGUUGGCCCGUUGCAGUGAUACGUCGACGUCGCCGUCAUAUUGGAUGUGGCAGCUCAGCCCCGUGAAGUAAUACAAGUCAAUGGAGUGAACUUUAAAUAAUGCUCCUUUUUACAAAGUGCUCAUUAUAAAAUAUUAAAUAUGUUGCCUGCUCAGCUCUCCGGCCGCUGUCACUCUGGACCUGCUCCCCCGUCUGCUCCGUUAAUCCCGCUCAGGAUUCAGCCUCCUGGACUGCUCCCACCUCCUGAACUCUUCCCCUUCACUGACUCUCCCUAUCUGGACCAUCCCAGCCCUGCCCCAGAUCCAACCUAGUAAAAAUGAGCUAAAUCUGGUUUGAGCAUUUUUGCUUCCCUGUCUGUGUCCGCAUCUGGGUUCACUGAUUCUCUGAAAAAUGUGACUAAAGGCCUUGAGAUUUACACUCGUUAGACUUUGGUGCCCCCUUGUGGGAGCAUCAAGAAGACACUGUAGAAGCUCUGACUACCUGAUUACAACAAGAAACAAAACAACCAUUUUUCAUCAAGCAAAUUUAGAUCAAAAUAGCAAAAACAUACAUACAGCGUGCAUAUUGGGUGUGUAUGAGUGUGUAUGUCUCUGUCCAUGUCCGAGGGGGUGGGAGGGUUGGGUUCUUUUAAUUAUCUUCUCCUAACUUUAUUUUGCUGUUUCUAUUUUUCUGCUGUUGUUUAUUUCUGUGAGGCACUUUGAGGUACUUUUUUCUGUAUGAAAAGUGCCAUAUAAAUAAAGAUUGAUUGAUAUUGUACAGCCAUGUACAUGUGACUCUAUACUCUUUAUACUUCUCAACUAUGAAGGACCCACGUAUAAGAAUGUAAUGUCACCUCUGAGAUAGAGAAACUGUAAUUAGUUAGGUGAGCACCAAAAUAGUUUCUAUACAGAUAAUUAGCCUCAUGAUAUCACAACUGAUCAUUGUCAAAACAAAACAGGGAAAUUAGCAACAUUACAGCAGCAAAGGAGAGCAAAAACAGAGCAUCAAUUAAAAACAGCACUAAUGAAUAACUACAAAAAAAGAUUAGACAUAUAGAUAAAAGUGAAAAGCAGUAUUCACAAUAUAAACAACAUGAAUAAGAAACAAAAAACUCCCAAAACAGUGAGACUAUUGCACACUGACAAGAGUAUUUACAGCAUUUCACACAGGGUGGGGGCCGCUCUCUACCGGGGAUAAUAGCUUAGCUGUCGCCCCCCUUUCUCCCACCACCUGCACUGAGACCGGUGGGCAUCCAUCAACAACUUCAGACACUGACUUCACCACAUCAAAAAUAACUACAUUUACUCAGAGUUCAAUACAGCGCACAUAAAAUGUAAAUCUUGCAUCACUCCUAAUGCGUGCAGACACACCAGAGGGCUAUUCCAUAAAGGAGGUUCAACUAACUCUGAGCCUAACCCUGAACUCUGAGUUGACUUACCCUGUGAAGUGAAACUCUGAGUUUUCAGUUCCAGAACAGCUGAUCUGAGUAAGGUAAGUCGACUCUGAGUAUGUUAACUCUGAGUUGAGCUUGUGCCUGAUGACUAGUAAAAAGCCAUCAUCAGUUGAGCUCCGAUACUGUGAUUCACCAUGGCAACAGGGGAGAAAACAGGAAACAGACAUUUUCUGGGAAAAAGUAACACGGCUGCGGCCGUAAUAAAACUCACUGACAGAGUUGUAGAUGCGGUCGUCUUUUCAUUUUGAAUUUAACCUCACUUUCUUUUAUAUUAGCCUUUGAGAAAGUGGUUGAAUGUUGUUCAGUGUUUUAUUUUAUUUCAUUUUAGGCUAUUUCAUUUAAUUUAAAUCGGCUGAAAAUGAAAUACAGAAACAGUCUCACGAUGGCUCCUCACUUUGGUUUUAUUUCACAUAUUAAACAAAGUAAAAGUUUAUUCAGUGGAUAUUUUAACUUGUAGUAGCUUUUACCACCAACAGAUAAUGUUUAACACACAUCUGUGUCCUAACAUCCUGCUGAGUAGUUGAACAUGAAGUGGUUCUCACCUCCACCUCCACCACGUCCGACAGAGGCUGAGGAGCUGAUCCUGAGUCAGGCUGCAGGGUGACCAGAGGCUGAGGGCGUCACUCACCCCCAGGACCCAACAUUAGAGGCAGACACACACUUACUGUCCACAGAUUGAACUACAAGUCAUUUAAUCUUAUACUCAAUGCAGCAGCAAACUAGAAACACGGACUCUGAAAUUACGCUGUUGGACAAAAAUACAAUAGGCUACACUGAUGGUUACUUUUGUAGUUAUCUGUGGGAAAUAAAGAAAGCCAAAUUAAAUGUGAGUUAUUUCUCUUUCCUGGCUGCUUGAAGGUGUUUGAUUAACCUGCGAAGUGAUAAAAAAAA